UAAUAAACCCGACAAAAACGGAAAUACUUUUUGUAGCCACAACAUUCAUUUUUUAGCUGCUUUCACAAAAAGAUUGUAGUGGUUGGCGGGGAUAAAG
rnacentral:sRNA from 1 species